UGUGUUUUAGGUUUUUUUAAUAUUGAAAUAUAAAAUUAUUUAAAAACUUUAUUAGAAAUAAAAUACAACAGUAUAAGAUACACAAUAAAUAAAAAACAGACGCAUUUCACCUUCAACAAGCCUUUCUCAAAACGUCAUGUCAUUAUCCAUGACGGGGCCCCCCCCCCCGUGGACGUCAUUCUCCAUGACGGGCCCCCCCCGUGGACGUCAUUCUUCAUGACGGGCCCCCCCGUGGACGUCAUUCUCAUGGACGGAACUUGCUAUGUAUUUUUUUUUUUUUAAAGAGAAAAGUCAGGCUCCAUUGUUUUUCUCCCAAGCAAACUAAUGUUAUAAAACAGGACCUCAUCCCCAAGACUGUAGGUUAAACUCUCGUGUUUCUUCUGCACUUUCUUCGCAUAGAUCAUCUUCUACUUUUACUGCGACAAUGCUUUCCAAUGUUACUUCAUUUAUCGUCUCCAUUGAGGAUUUCCUUUCCACCAAGAACGUAGCAUAACUAUGCUCCUCCGGUAGAGUGAUAGUUGAAAGCUUUAAAAAAAAAAUAAAAAAAAAUAUAAAUAAAUAGUAACCAUAAAUUAGGAUUGAAAUUUUGUCAAGAUAAUUGGAACUCCAGGGAAAAAGAUCAGGGUAAGCCCAGGAAUGAGAUAUAUAUAGUUAAUGCAAUGUUAAACACAAAUACACACACCAGGCAAGCCAUAUGACUUGCUUUUACCACAGAAAUCUCACUUUAACAGUGCUCUCACUACUGAAAAGGAUUCUGGGUAGGCGUAUGCAAAUGAACUCAACAAAGAACCAAAUUUUUGCCUCAAUUCCACUUUAUAAAUGGAUUCCUUGGAGUAUAUGUCUGCUAACAAUUAAUGCAAAGCCUGUAUAGCAAGCCAGUAACCUAUCUCAUGCUGAUGAGUUGAAAUAACGAAACAGCUGUCCAAGAGUGGUUCACUGGCACUGCACCUCUUCCUGAGUUGUGCUUCAAAGCUGUUGUAUGCAUCAGACACAAACUCCAAGGAAUCCAUGUGUAAGGUAGAAUUAUGAGACCCCCCAAUAUGUUAAUCUGUUUAUGGCAGAUCUUGAACAGUGAUUCCUAGAAAUACUGCACACCAAACCAUACAAAUAUUAUUGCUAUAUCGAUGAUAUCUUCAUAAUUUGGACUGAAAGCAAAGAAAAACUGAUGACUUUUAACACAUUCCAUCCAAACUAAAAAUGGAAUAUUCCACUAGAUCUGUGAAUUUUCUGGACACCACUGUGACAGCCACACCUCGUUUUACAGAAAACCCAGAGUCAGAUGCAGUUACCUUCACAGCUCCAGCGUCCACCCCUCCCAUACUAAACAGGGCAUCACCUACAGCCAAACCACUAGGUACCAUUGCAUAUGCUCUGAUCUUAAUGACCGUAAUUCCUAUCUAAAGGUACCCUUCCAAUCUAUGAGAUUGGUUUGUAGCCUAAGACUAUUACCAAACAAACCAACCCUACUGUAAAAACUCCACGCACGCACCUGCUACAGUACAGAGAGAAAAAUAAAUAUCUACACUUGUGGUCACCUACAACCCAGCUCUUUAGAAAAUAAAGUAAAUCAUCAGAGACCUACAACCAAUGUUAACAGAAGAUGAGACUAUGAAAAACAUUUUCUCUGAAACACCCAUUUUGGCCUUCAGACAACCACCAAACCGCCAACAAAAAUUAAUUAACAGGUAGCGGUUCACUGAUGGGAAGAAUAAAGAAAAUGGGACCAGUCAAUGUAAAAAACCUCGCUGCAAACUGUGUCAGCACAUAUGCACAGACAACACAGCCACACACAACAAUAAAACUUACAGCAUUAAAGGUUCAUACUCCUGCACAUCCAGCAAUGUGGUCUACAUGAUGCAAUGCACCAAAUGCCACCUAGAAUGCUACAUUGGGGAAACCACCCAGCAAUUCAAUGGCAGAAUGAAUAUGCACAUACACUAAUAAAAACUUGAAUUCCCUUUUAAAGGGCUGCCAAUCCUCUAACAUCUUACCGUUGAUGGUCUGGUGAGUCAGAGCAUUACUUCCGGUCAGACAGCCAUCUUGUUUCUCUUACCUGCUUUCCUUGUGGUCCUGGCUCCUGUUCUACGCUUACCAAACAGUUCGUAAACCCACGGCCUCCUUCCGGCUUCUCGGCACGGCUAGUGGUUCUAAACCGUAAGUCAAGAUCCUUACCGUAAGGCGGUUGCAAUCGUUACACGCCAUCGCGGUAGGGGUCGGUUCGGCACAAUUUUCGGUUGAUUUAAUAACAGCUUUAAUAUAUAUGUCUUUCAUAAUUUAAAUGCACGAACGCAGCCAUUCGUUUCUUUGUUCACUACACUGUACAUUUGUUUCAUUAAGCCAUUUUCAUACGAAUUUGUUUCAAGUUGGCUAAACAUACGAAUGAUUAGGUUUAAACAGGUAUUCUAUACAGGGCAUUCCUCCCAGUUCGGCAGUAUGUUGCUGGCAUGAGACUGUUCACAAAUUUUAGCCGAUUGGCCUGGUUGUCAGAUGCCCCUAUUGGUUAGUAAGGAUACUACAGUUACAAUUUUAUACUUAUGAGUUGGGGCUAUUUCAAUACAAUGAUAUAGACAGGUUUGAUAUAUACAUAUACAAAAAAACAAGUCCCGCGCUCAAACUCCCAUAACUCCUGGGCAACGACCAUAGUAGACAUCAGCUCAAAUACAUACAGUAAAAACCAAAGGAAAAAGUUACCUGCACCUUUUCCAAAAUCCCUAUGUAUAUUUAAACAAAUGGAGGUUUUUAGUUACCACCAAUGGCCAUGAGAGGGUAUGCCCACCUGCCACGUCAAGACCACUUAGGUGGGUCCUAACUAACGAUUUACCUUGCUUCCUUGAGCGUUUGGCAAAGAUAUCUCUAAUGAGACAAAAAGGGAUGUUUUUUAUAUAACACUUUGAACAUAAAUACUGCACUCAAUGCAUUUAUUAUGCGCACUAAGAACAAUUCAUAAAUAAGUAUGCGAAAAUUAAUUUAUUGUUCACUGACUCAGUAUAAUUAAUUGGAGGAAAAGGCUACUAAAGGCAAUUGGUGAUCCUAUCUUAAAUUCAUAUAUCAUACACAUAGAAAGAAUUCAUAAUAUAUACAGAUCCUAUUUACAACCACUAGCGAUCCCUUCAUGAAUUCAUAUAUUAUACACAAAGUACAAGUUCAUGAUAUAUACUAAUGCUAUUUACAACUAAUUACAGUCCUGACUGUAGUAAUAUAGAGGGUAUUCCCUGAUUGUAGAGGGGAUAAAUCAUUGGAGCAGUAGAGAAGAGAGUCCUCCUGUGUCUGUUCGUGAUGCAGUAAAGUCCUCCUAUUAGUUGAAUCAGCUGAUCGGCAGCAAACGAUCGUGAGAUAAGUCAGCUGAUCGGCAGCUAACGGGUUGCGCGCUCGGGAUGUCUAUGUCCCUUGGAAGGCCCCUGCAAUUUGACAGACGAGAAGGCUGAAUUUAAAUAUCCCUAAUUCCGCCUUGUCGUGGUGACGUCAGCAUGCGUCACAUGUGAUUGAAAAAACUUUAUUGUUCAUACCAUACAGGACAAUUGACAGUGAGGAACCACACUUUGUAAGGAUAACGUAGAACAUCGCACCAUUUGGUACAAGAUUUUAAAUAAGUGCUCAGUAGAUCUUAUGGUAUUAACCACUGAGUCCCUACAAAAAGAAUUGGUCAAAUUAAUUAAGUAAAUAGCAACAGUGGAACAGGAGUUGGCAGCUGUGACAGCUCAAAGUGACUUAGAAACUCUUAAAACUCAGAUUGAAGAAAAGUUGAAAGAAUACCAGAGGGAGACAGAAGAGUUCAAAAAGAAAAAAAUUUCAUAGACACGAGUUGGACUAUCAGAGAGAUCAGGUCUAUACCUGGUACUCCAGGACAGACAACAGACAGAAUAGAGACAUACAAACACAAAGAUGGCGUUCAGACACGGAAGGAGUUACAUCCUCCUCCUCUGCCUCCUCAUUAACGGGGACCACUUUUUUAAAAAUACGAAGAAUCAUCAGGAGGGGGGGUCACAACAAGAGGUACACAGGAGAGAAAGGAAGGCAAACCUCCCCUAUCCAGACCGGAUCCCGAAUACACAAUAUCUCAGGUAGGUAAUUAACUACACAAGAGGAAGAGACUCUGAACAAGGGACUCUCCUUCAUCCCUACCCCUAAUGUGGAAUGACAUCAAUACGAUAUGAGAUGUACAAUUUUUUUCUCCAAUUGAAAUUACGUGCAUUUUUUUCUACAGAUCAACAUAACCUUGGCACAGCAGCUGACCCCAAGUAAUAGGAACACUCAGUUAAUACAGACAGACCAUCAUCAAGAGGAAGAGAACAUAGAAGGUGUGGUGUCCAAUGCCUCUCAGAUUGAUCCGCAUGUGGUCCUUGAUCCGCAGGUUUGAACCCCCCUCCCCCGAAACAUUAAUGCAUCCAUAGAUAUAUUUACAAAUUUAGUGAAAAGAGAUGUCUAUAAACUUAGAAAGAAACACCAACAGACACAUAGAAGUAAUAGAGAAACUGUUAACUUCACUAAACAAGAUUGGUCUACCAUUAAUAACUUGAAGGGAGAUACAUCUAUUAUAAUUAAACCAGCGGAUAAGGGGGGUGCGCUAGUUAUUAUGGGCCUCACUUAUUACAUAAAGGAAAUUGAAACAUAAUUAAGGGAUGAUUUACAUGAAUCAUAUGGAAGAGAUGUACAUCUACCAACAUCCUCUAUUUACCAAAUGUUUAGUUUGGAAACGGUAUAUAGACAACAUGUUCGUAUGUUGGGGCGGCACUAGGGCCCAGCUACAGGAGUUCCAUGAUUCACUGAAUACACAAGAUCCCGAUAUCAAGUUUACCAUGUAUUGUGACAUGGUAACGGUCCCUUUUUUUAGAUGUCCAAGUACAAAGAGUACAUGACCGACUCCAUAGUGACCUAUACAUAAAACCUACUGACCGUAACAACUUACUGACGUAUGCCAGCUUUCAUCCGAUCCACCUUAAGAAUGGCUUACCCUAUAGCCAAUUGUUAAGGAUGAAAAGGAUUGUAUCACAAGAAGAAAAGGUAAUCUAACAGGAUUAGACUUUAUGGCACAAAAAUUUAUGGAAAGGGAUUAUCCAACACAUAGUUCUUAAUCAGGGACAAAAAGUUUAAAAUUUCACUCGUCAGGAAACUCUUUUUGGGUCGAGAACAGUCAAUAAAACAGAGAGGAUAGCCUUUGUAUCACCACAUACUUUUUGAGGGGGACUUUCAAUUACCCCCGGUAUUUCAAAACCCACUUUUUUCGUAUCAAAGGGCUCCUAGUUUUAAGGAUAUCUUAGUUUAGUCAGACAUUGGCAGCUCGAAGAAACAUACUAGGUUAUUUUCUGAACCGAAGAAAGGUAACAUAGAAACAUAGAAUGUGACGGCAGAUAAGAACCAUUCGGCCCAUCUAGUCUGCCCAAUACAUUUACAUGCCACUGCAGCAGUGUGAUCAAGGGGGAGUAUCUUGUUCACCCUCGGUCUGGUAAGAAAUUUUUCGUCAAGGAUUACUAUACGUGUAACCCUGACUUCGUCAUAUAUAUCUUAAAGUGUCCUUGUGGGUAUGUAUACGUGGGGGAGACCAUCUGGCCGGUAAAAGAGUGAAAAGGAGAGCAUAAAAGGAGUAUUAGGGCAGCCUUACAACGAGGCAUUAUUGAAUCUCUGGUGCCUAGACAUUUCAGAUCUCAUGGCCAUAGUGUGAACCAGUUAAGGUUUCAGGUCAUAGACUGAGUUCCACCCAUACGGAGGGGCGGGGACAGACAAACUUCUACUGCAAAAGGAAACCAAAUGGAUCAGUAUCCUAGAGACUGUCACCCUCUGGGCUGAACGAAGAUUAUGAUCUAAAGCACUUUUUAGAAUUUCUUUUUUCAGUUUAAUAGUACUAGCAUUGAUUAAUCUCUAUCUAUAUUUAUACCUUGGGCUCCUUACAGUGACUCCAUUAGACCAGGAAUGGCCUGAUCCUCUUUUCCGCCUACACUUUGACACACACGGGUCCGCUACCUGGCAUCUGUUACGGGUCCUUCAUGUUGAAAACCCUGGGAUAGUUUGGGUGACUACACGACGGGUAUAUGUAAUAGGGAAAGAGAUCAAGAUAGGAUCAGCGCUAGUAAUACCACUAGGAAAGUAUAUAAUAGUGUAAAGGCAGCACACCUAAAAGGGGAAAUACCCUUCUAUCCCCUGAAAUAAAUUAGAACAUAAACAAGAAAUAAAGGGCGCGCCUAUUUGUAUUUGUUGUAUUGUAUUUCUUGUUUUUUAUGUUUUUUAUAUGUAAUAGGACCUCUAGAAUUUUUUGAGCUUGUUUGCGUUUUGGCAUUUACCACUUUUUUCAUUUUAUGUUUACAGCUGGUUAUUCGACUAGCUUUUACACAAAUAUAUUUUCUCAGAUGGUUCCUUUUGAUUCUCCCUUUGAUCAUCGGCUGCAGGUGAGCAACAAGUGUUGCCUCCUCUGUUUGAGGUAUAUAUUUGCAUUUAGAUAACUGUUACCCACUAUAGUUAUGGUCUUAAUCUGUUUCUUAUACACAGCUAGAGGUAGGACCAUCUGUCCAUUUAUUCAAAUAGAUGUGUUAGUCUUUAUUAAAUAUUUAAUUUCUGCCCCUGAUAUAACUUCUGUCUUGAACUUAUUAUGUUAUAGGACUUUUGUCUCCGAGAUAUCUUUGCCAGAAGCUCAAGGAAGCAAGGUAAAUGGUUAGAGUUAAGACCCACCUACGUGGUCUGCCUUCACGUGGCAGGUGGGCAUACCCUCCCAUGGCCAUUGGAGGUAACUAAAAACAUCCAUUUGUUUAAAUAUACAGGGAGUGCAGAAUUAUUAGGCAAGUUUUAUUUUUGAGGAUUAAUUUUAUUAUUGAACAACAACCAUGUUCUCAAUGAACCCAAAAAACUCAUUAAUAUCAAAGCUGAAUAUUUUUGGAAGUAGUUUUAGUUUGUUUUUAGUUAUAGCUAUGUUAGGGGGAUAUCUGUGUGUGCAGGUGACUAUUACUGUGCAUAAUUAUUAGGCAACUUAACAAAAAACAAAUAUAUACCCAUUUCAAUUAUUUAUUAUUACCAGUGAAACCAAUAUAACAUCUCAACAUUCACAAAUAUACAUUUCUGACAUUCAAAACAAAAACAAAUCAGUGACCAAUAUAGCCACCUUUCUUUGCAAGGACACUCAAAAGCCUGCCAUCCAUGGAUUCUGUCAGUGGUUUGAUCUGUUCACCAUCAACAUUGCGUGCAGCAGCAACCACAGCCUCCCAGACACUGUUCAGAGAGGUGUACUGUUUUCCCUCCUUGUAAAUCUCACAUUUGAUGAUGGACCACAGGUUCUCAAUGGGGUUCUGAUCAGGUGAACAAGGAGGCCAUGUCAUUAGAUUUUCUUCUUUUAUACCCUUUCUUGCCAGCCACGCUGUGGAGUACUUGGACGCGUGUGAUGGAGCAUUGUCCUGCAUGAAAAUCAUGUUUUUCUUGAAGGAUGCAGACUUCUUCCUGUACAACUGCUUGAAGAAGGUGUCUUCCAGGAACUGGCAGGGCCGGCGCGUCCAUAAGGCGGCACAGGCGGCCGCCUUAGGGCGCACCGGCCCGGGGGCGCAAAUGUCCGGGUGGCCGGCAGGAGGGAAGCGCACCGCUCCCCUCUCCUGCCGGUCACUUUUUGUAGCGUGGCCGAGCGCCAACCUGCAGCAGUGCCGCGGACUGUGUGGAGGGGGCGGGGAUAUGAACGUCAUAUCCCUGCUCCCUCUGUAGCACACAGUGCGGCUGGUGAACAGCAGGGGCGGAGCUACCACCGGCCCCUUUUUGUCAGCAUGGGAGGAAGUCCUCCCAAGAAGACAAGAGCAGCAGAAGGCAGAGAGGAGGGGGGCUGGGCAGGACCAGCUCCUCCAACUCCCAACUACCUCAGGCAGCACUUUGGAUCCCAGGUAAGCCCCCCUUCUGAACCUGUUGGUCAGUGUGUCUGUGUGUAUCUAUGUCUGUCACUGUGUGUAUCUAUGUCUGUCAGUGUGUGUGUAUAUGUCUGUCAGUGUGUGUGUGUGUAUCUAUGUCUGUCAGUGUGUCUGUGUGUAUCUAUGUCUGUCACUGUGUGUAUCUAUGUCUGUCAGUGUGUGUGUAUAUGUCUGUCAGUGUGUGUGUGUGUAUGUCUGUCAGUGUGUGUGUGUGUGUGUAUGUCUGUCAGUGUGUGUGUGUAUGUAUAUGUCUCUGUCCGUGUGUCUGUGUGUAUCUAAAUGUCUGUUAGUUUGUGUGUCUGUCUGUUAGUGUGUCUUUGUGUGUCUUCUUCCCUAUCAUUGUGUAUGUGUGUCUGUAUGUCACUGUGUGUUUAUCUGUAUGUCUGUCAGUGUUUGUGUGUAUCUGUGUGUCUAUCUGAAUGUGUAUCAGUUUGUGUAUAUGUAUAUCUGCAUGUGUCAGUGUGUGUAUCUUUGUGUAUGUGUAUCACAGUGUGUGCGUGUGUGGCAGUGUAUGUGUAUAUGUGCAUAUAUCUCAGCAUUCAAACACCAACACUACACACAAAUAAACAUCUGCAUGCAAACAUCAACACUACAUACAAACACACCCCUGCAUUCAAAUGUCAACACUACAUACAAACACACCUCUGUAUCGGACACCAAAAUUAUAUAUAAACACACACCUGCGUUCAAAAACCAACACUACACAUAAAUGCAUG
rnacentral:lncRNA from 1 species